GGAGGUGCAUGGCCGUCGUCAGUUCGUACUGUGAAGCAUCCCUGUUAAGUCAGGCAACGAGCGAGACCCACGCCAACAGUUGCCAGCAUGUCCUCCGGGAUGAUGGGGACACUGUUGGGACCGCCUCUGCUAAAGAGGAGGAAGGAAUGGGCAACGGUAGGUCAGCAUGCCCCGAAUUAUCCGGGCUACACGCGGGCUACAAUGGUCAGGACAAUGGGUAUCGACACCGAGAGGUGGAGGCAAUCUCCUAAACCUGUCCUUAGUUCGGAUUGUGGGCUACAACUCGCCCACAUGAAGCUGGAAUCCGUAGUAAUCGCGUUUCAAAUAGCGCGGUGAAUAUGUCCCUGCUCCUU
rnacentral:rRNA from 1 species